rnacentral:rRNA from 1 species
GAUGGAAGUGCAUGUGCAAGUUUCAAGACCGUCUGAUUGGCAAAUCCGUCAGGCACCAAAGUCAAGGAACGAUGCGGAGUCCCGUAGGGACGUAGGUCACGAUUUCACACUGCCAAGAAAAGCCUCUAGUGAGGGGGAAGGCGCCAGUACCGUAAACCGACACAGGUAGGCGAGAUGAGAAUUCUAAGACGCGCGGGAUAACUCUCGUUAAGGAACUCGGCAAAAUGGUCCCGUAACUUCGGGAGAAGGGACGCUCUACACAUGUAGAGCCGCAGUGAAUAGGCCCAAACGACUGUUUAGCAAAAACACAGGUCUCUGCUAAAUCGCAAGAUGACGUAUAGGGGCUGACGCCUGCCCGGUGCUGGAAGGUUAAGGGGAUGGGUUAGCGCAAGCGAAGCUUUGAACCGAAGCCCCAGUAAACGGCGGCCGUAACUAUAACGGUCCUAAGGUAGCGAAAUUCCUUGUCGGGUAAGUUCCGACCCGCACGAAAGGCGUAACGAUUUGGGCACUGUCUCAACGAGAGACCCGGUGAAAUCAUAGUACCUGUGAAGAUGCAGGUUACCCGCGACAGGACGGAAAGACCCCAUGGAGCUUUACUACAGCCUGAUAUUGAGGCUUUGUGCAUGAUGUACAGGAUAGGCGGGAGACGUCGAGCCCGGAGCGCCAGCUUCGGAGGAGUCACCCUUGGGAUACCGCCCUUCAUGCAUAGAGUCUCUAACUCGCAGCCGUAAUCCGGCUGGAGGACCGUGUCAGGCGGGUAGUUUGACUGGGGCGGUCGCCUCCUAAACAGUAACGGAGGCGCCCAAAGGUUCCCUCAGAAUGGUUGGAAAUCAUUCGUAGAGCGCAAAG